GCUAAAAGGAACGAUCGUUGUGAUAUGCGUUUAUCCCUCGUUACAUAUCACAGUGAUUUUCCUUUAUAACGC
rnacentral:pre_miRNA from 12 species